GGAAAAUAAAAAGUUUUGGGGAAUAAAAGUUUGAGGGAAAGUAAAUAGGGGGAGUAAAAUUUUGGAGGGAAAAUAUUAAAAAAAAUUUGGAGGGGGGAGGGUUUGGGGUAGAUGGGAGGUGGGAUGGGAAGAGAAUAAAAGUUUUAGGAGAAAAGUGGGAGGGAGUAAAAAUUUGGGGGGAAAAUAAAAGGUUUUGAGGGUUUUUGGGAGUAAAAUUUUGAGAAAAAGUAAAUGGAAGAGUAAAAUUUUGGUGGGAAAUGGAUUUUGGAUAGAUUGGGGGGUUGGGAGGGGAGGGGAGUAAAAGUUUUGGGGGGAAAGUGGGAAGGAGUAAAAGUUUUGAGGGAAAAGUAAAAAAGUUUGGGAGUUU
rnacentral:lncRNA from 1 species